AAGGGCACAUGCUGGAAAGGCUGACUGGGAAGGCAAGUGUCAUGAGUUGAGAAGGGUGUGCCACUCCCAGCAUCUAUGAUUUCACUUAAAAAUAGCCUAGCAGGUGCUGUCAUUUUCUUUACCAAGCAUCCUAGCGAAUACUUCCUGAGGACAUGGCUGUGUCUCUUUAGGACAGGCAUACAGCUGGAGUGCACUGGCAUGAUUAACGUCACAGCAACCUCUGCCUCCCAGGCUCAAGUGAUUGUCCUGCCUCAGCCUCCCAAGUGGCUAGGAUUACAGGCAGGAGUACAGUGGCGCGAUAUUGGCUCAAUGCAACCUCCAUCUCCCAAGUUCAAGAAAUUCUCCUGCCUCAGACUCCUGAGUAGCUGGGACUAUAGGCGCACGCCACCAUGCCUGGCUAACUUUUGUAUUUUUACAGAGAUGUGGUUUCACCAUGUUGGUCAGGCUGGUCUCAAACUCCUGACCUCAACUGAUCCACCAGCCUUGGCUGGUGACCAAGAUGAAGAUGCAGAGGACCACUGUCAUCCGCUGAGACUACUUCCACUACAUCCGCAAGUACAACUGCUUCAGGAAGCACCACAAGAACACGUUUGUACACCUGUUGUUGAACAAAGUAGUUUAUACAUGUUAAUUAUAUCCAAUUGACUGCUGUUGAGUUGAACCAUGUUCUUAAUAAUUUUCUGUAUGCCAAAUCUGUCUUUUUGAUAAAGGAGCACUGAAAUUUCCAAAUAUAAUAGUGGAUUCAUCUCUUUCUCUGUACAGUUCUAUCUGUUUUUGCCUCACAUAUUUUGAUGCUCUAUUACAUGUAUAUUACAUUAAAGAUGGUUGUCUUAUUGGAGUACUGAUCUGUUGUCAUAAUGUAAUGCUUUUUAUCCCUGAUAACUUUCCUUGCUUUGCAGUCCGCCCUGUAUAGAAGUAUAACUACCCCCAUUUUCUUUAGUCAGUGUUAGUAUAAUGGAUCUUUCUUCAUCUCUUUACUUUUAAUCUAUAUGUGUCUUUAUACUUAAAGUGGGUUUCCUGCAAACAACAUAUAUUUGGGUCUUAUUUUUUAUAAACUUUCACAAUCUCCGCCUUUUAACUGAUGUAACGGACACUGACAUUUAAAGUGAUUAUUGACAUAGCUGGACUAACUGCUAUCAUAUUUGUUACUGUUUUGUUUGUUUGUUGCCCUUGUUCUUUGCUUCUCUUUUGGUCUUCCACACUUGUUCUGUCCAUUGUGGUAACUGAGCAUUUUACAUGAUUCAAUUUUCUCUCCUUUCAUAGCUUACUGAUUAUGCUGCUUUUUUUUUUUUUUUUUUUUUUUUUUGGCAGUUUCACUCUUGUUGCCCAGGCUGGAGUGCAAUGGCACAAUCUCGGCUCUCCACAACCUCUGCCUCCUGGGUUCAAGCAAUUUUCCUGCCUCAGCCUCCAGAGUAGCAGAGAUUACAGGUAUGCACCACCAGGCCUGGCUAAUUUUUGUAUUUUUAGUAGAGAUGGGGUUUCUCCAUGUUGAUCAGGCUGGUCUUGAACUCCCGACCUCAUGUGAUCCA